rnacentral:rRNA from 1 species
CGGCGAACGGGUGAGUAACACGUGGGUGAUCUGCCCUGCACUUCGGGAUAAGCCUGGGAAACUGGGUCUAAUACCGGAUAUGACCUCCUAUCGCAUGGUGGGUGGUGGAAAGAUUUAUCGGUGCAGGAUGGGCCCGCGGCCUAUCAGCUUGUUGGUGGGGUAAUGGCCUACCAAGGCGACGACGGGUAGCCGACCUGAGAGGGUGACCGGCCACACUGGGACUGAGACACGGCCCAG